UAGUCUAGUUGGUUAGGAUAUUCGGCUCUCACCCGAAAGACCCGGGUUCAAGUCCUGA
rnacentral:tRNA from 1 species